AUACGGAGGGGGCUAGCGUUGUUCGGAAUUACUGGGCGUAAAGCGUACGUAGGCGGACUGAUCAGUUGGGGGUGAAAUCCCAGGGCUUAACCCUGGAACUGCCUUCAAUACUGUCAGUCUCGAGAUUGGAAGAGGUGAGUGGAAUUCCUAGUGUAGAGGUGAAAUUCAUAGAUAUUAGGGGGAACACCAGUGGCGAAGGCGGCUCACUGGUCCAAUACUGACGCUGAGGUACGAAAGCGUGGGGAGCAAACAGGAUUAGAAACCCUAGUAGUCC
rnacentral:rRNA from 1 species